GGUCAAUGAGGGUUUGUUUGUUUCUUCUUUGUUGCUUCAAUUGAUUUUUUCUUCUUUAUUUCUUUCUUUCUUUCUUUCUCUUUGCUUUGAUUGAUUUAAUCAAUCAAGAAAGAAAGAGGGAG
rnacentral:ribozyme from 14 species